rnacentral:rRNA from 1 species
UACAGAGGUCCCGAGCGUUGUUCGGAUUCACUGGGCGUAAAGGGUGCGUAGGUGGCGAAGUAAGUCGGAUGUGAAAUCUCGGAGCUUAACUCCGAAACGGCAUUGGAAACUACUUUGCUAGAGGUUUGGAGGGGGGACUGGAAUGCUUGGUGUAGCAGUGAAAUGCGUAGAUAUCAAGCGGAACACCAGUGGCGAAGGCGAGUCCCUGGACAACACCUGACACUGAGGCACGAAAGCUAGGGGAGCAAACAGG